AAAUGGUUCUACAAACAUUACAAUCCCUACAAGAUUAGACGGGGCAGUACUGGUUUUAGUCAAUACAAACGAAUUUUACCUUUCUCAAAAAGAAACAAGAUUAGACGGGGCACACUUGUUGUUUUUUCUUUUACUACAUUGUACAAAUAUGUUCUGUUCUAAUUUAUAAAGUUACUUUGCCUUCCACAAAAUAUUCAUGCUCAUCAUAGUUUUAACAGAUCCCUAUAUGGCCUGCAAU
rnacentral:misc_RNA from 1 species